CAUAAAUUACUAUUUCGAUGUGAUCAUUUCGACGAAUAAAAUGAAAUUAAGUGAACUGCAUUAUGUACUGGCUUAUGUACUGUGCUCUCUUUAUUUGUGAAUUGAAAAGCUUUCUUUUUCUUGAGAUUUUCGGUGA